CGGUUGAUCCUGCCGGACCCUAUUGCUUCGGGGUAAGACUAAGCCAUGCAAGUCGUGCGCUCCAAUUGGAGACGCGGCGAACGGCUCAGUAACACGUAGUCAAUCUACCCUUUGGACGGAGAUAACCCCGGGAAACUGGGGGGUAAUCUCCGAUAGAUGAGAAGUCCUGGAAUGGCUUCUCAUCGAAAGCGUUCUUAGAACAUGCUUCUAAGAACGGCCAAAGGAUGAGACUGCGUCCGAUCAGGGUAGUUGGUGGGGUAAAGGCCCACCCAACAAGCCUAUAACCGGUACGGGCCCCGAGAGGGGGAGCCCGGAGAUGGGACCUGAGACAAGGUCCCAGGCCCUACGGGGCGCAGCAGGCGCGAAAACUCCACAAUACGCGAAAGCGUGAUGGGGUUACCCCGAGUGCCCUCCUUUGAGGAGGGCUUUUCCCCAGCGUAAGGAGCUGGAGGAAUAAAGGGGGGGCAAGACUGGUGUCAGCCGCCGCGGUAAUACCAGCCCCCUGAGUGAUAGGGACGAUUAUUGAGCCUAAAGCGUCCGUAGCCGGCCUAACAAGUCUUCCGUGAAAUCUGACGACUUAAUCGUCAGGCCGCGGAAGAUACUGUUAGGCUAGAGGACGGGAGAAGUUGACGGUACUCCCAGCGUAGGGGUGAAAUCCUAUAAUGCUGGGAGGACCACCAAUGGCGAAGGCGGUCAACUAGAACGUGCCUGACGGUGAUGGACGAAAGCUGGGGGAGCGAACCGGAUUAGACACCCGGGUAGUCCCAGCUGUAAACGAUGCGGGCUAGGUGUUGGAACAGCCACGAGCUGUUCCAGUGCCGCAGAGAAGUCGUUAAGCCCGCCGCUUGGGAAGUACGGCCGCAAGGCUGAAACUUAAAGGAAUUGGCGGGGGAGCAC
rnacentral:rRNA from 1 species